UACGUAGGGUGCGAGCGUUGUCCGGAAUUACUGGGCGUAAAGAGCUCGUAGGUGGUUUGUCGCGUUGUUCGUGAAAACUCACAGCUCAACUGUGGGCGUGCGGGCGAUACGGGCAGACUGGAGUACUGCAGGGGAGACUGGAAUUCCUGGUGUAGCGGUGGAAUGCGCAGAUAUCGAGAGGAACACCAGUGGCGAAGGCGAGUCCCUGGACAACUCCUGACGCUGAGGCACGAAAGCUAGGGGAGCAAACAGG
rnacentral:rRNA from 1 species